rnacentral:rRNA from 1 species
AUUGAACGCUGGCGGCAGGCCUAACACAUGCAAGUCGAGCGGUAACAGGGAUAGCUUGCUAUCUGCUGACGAGCGGCGGACGGGUGCGUAACACGUAGGAAUCUACCCAGUAGCGGGGGAUAGCCCGGAGAAAUCCGGAUUAAUACCGCAUACGCCCUACGGGGGAAAGCAGGGGCUCUUGUUCGUUCUAUGAAGAGCGGACCUUGCACUAUUGGAUGAGCCUGCGUCGGAUUAGCU